UUAGCAUCUCUCUUCGAGAUAUUUCUUUGUUUUGUGGAGGACUGUUUAAUUUCUAUCUAAUAACUCGUCGGCUAAAGUCUAGUAUUGUGGUCGUCCUGUUCACUGUUCAGCUCUGCUAGGGUGUAAUCCGGUCGGAGUCUAAUCUUGGUUGAAGCCUGAACCUGAAGGAAGCUUUCCAUUUUAAGAAAGAGCGAAUUCAGAGAGAGAGAAAGGGAAGAGGAUGCUGUUCUCUGCCUCUCCAGCAACAGCAACGACAUUAUCAGCCGUAACAGGAGUAUGUUUUCGUAAUUCCUCGUCACGUUUCGUUUCGUUUCCAUAUGAAGCGGGAUUACAAUUUCAGGAGACAAUAGCGAAGAACCCAAGAAGCAGAAAUGGAAAUGGGUUCCUCGUCUUUUGUUGCUCUAAUUUUUCUAUUAAUUCCACUUCUACUGCUACGACGACGACGGCGACACCAGCUCCAAUUUUGCGCAAGAGGAAAAGAUACAGAAAACAGUAUCCAGGAGAGAGCAAGGGCAUCGUUGAAGAGAUGAGGUUUGUCGCCAUGAAGCUCCGUAACGAUGACGCCAAGAAGAAGAAUAGUAGCAAUGGCAACGACGAUGAUACGAAUUGUGAUGAGGACUCUUCCUCAGAAUCUUCACCAGAUGAUAGGGGGGAUACUUGGCAGCCCAGCAUGGAAGGAUUCCUCAAGUACCUGGUCGAUAGCAAACUCGUCUUCCAAACCCUCGACCGCAUUGUCGACGAAUCCGACCAUGUUGCUUAUGCUCACUUCAGAAAAACUGGACUGGAGCGCACAGAAGGUCUUUUAAAAGAUCUAGAGUGGUUCAGCCAUCAGGACAUUGCCAUUCCGCAACCUGGUACUCCUGGAGUUUCCUAUGCGAAAUACCUAGAGGAGCUUGCUGAGAAGAGUGCCCCUUUGUUCCUAUGCCACUUCUAUAACAUAUAUUUCGCACAUAUAGCUGGUGGUCAAGUGAUAACCAAACAGGUUUCAGAGAAGCUUCUGGAAGGGAGGGAAUUGAAGUUUUUCAGAUGGGAAGGGGAUGCACAAGAGUUGUUGAAAGGUGUCAGGGAUAAGCUGAACAAGCUUGGAGAGCAUUGGUCACGAGAUGAUAAGAACAAAUGCUUGAAAGAGGCAGCAAAGUCUUUCCGUUUCUCGGGGCAGAUAGUCCGCUUGAUCAUUUUAUAACAGAGCGCUAUAUUCUAGAGAUUUCAAGUUUUUCCAGGUGCAAGCUAACAGCCGAUUCUCAUUAUUUUGAAGGAUCUUUCAGCAAGUCCCCUCUUAUGGACCAAGGAAAGAGGGACUGAGAUACAUCUUGCAUUGUCAUCAGUGUUUUGAAAACCAUUGUCAAUGUUGUUGCAACUACAAAGAUUGCCAGUUCAAGAUUCAGUGCCCUGUUGUCAUCCUAAUUGAACAAUCCAAAACUGUGAAAAAAUGCAAAGAAAAGGAUUAGAGGACCAUAGAAAUGAUCACUGGAUUGAAAACAAAGACAGAUUUGGUCAUGUAGUUGGGAGAUUUUCCAAAAAGGUAAUUGGGUGGUGUAGGUCUAAAUGACCUGUAACUGUAAGACAGUAGUCGGCUAUCCAAGAAAAGUGAUGAAAGGGUACAUGCAAAGUCAGCCUAGCUUCAGAGUUGCCCUCUUUUUGUCUCUGAAGUGUCUUUCAGCAGUGUGCAAGCAAGUUUUUCCUAUAUGUGUGGUAUCCCUAUAAUUUAUUCUUGACUGAACUGAAUUGGAGAUUGAACUGUGGCUGAACUGAAUUGUGAAUGAAUUGUGGUUGAACUGUGACUGAUUUUGAAUUGAA